rnacentral:lncRNA from 1 species
AAUAUCUGACAAAUGGACUUUGGGGUCUCUCAUUAGUUGCUUAUAUGAAUCAGCAGCCAAGGUUUUUCUCAUCUGUAAGAAAUGGACAUUCCCACGUACCUCGCCGCUCUUGUACUAUGGUUUGAUGACCUAUGAUGUAAGACAGUGCACAGCAUGGGGCCCACUCUGCUAAGGACUUCCCAUAAAUGAGGAUUGAGAAGCACAAGCGUCACUCCGUGAGAGGUGGGUUUAUGUGCUCACAAUGAGUGACUCAGUGCCAGGCUUUGACAGGACAGUCAGAGCUAAAAUUCUGUUUCUGCUAGAUGAUUAAUACAGACAGGUCACUGGGUAGAAACCCAGGCCGGGUUAGGGUCAGAGCAGAGGGGAGUGGGAAGCCUCCUUUCUGGAGUGUCAAGUCUCAGUGCUGACCAUGGGACUUGCAUCUGCUCUUCUGGACUAUGGUUUCACGUGUUCUUGCAUCAGUUUCUGGGCAACAAAACAACUCUCAUUUCCUGUUAUUUCCACAGCAGAGGUUGGACCAUUGGAGCCUUAUAACCUAGGCUGAAGCAAGCAGAGUCUACUUGGUCGUGGGCGGUCUUGGACCAUGUAAGAAGUAAGCUGAGCAAUACACUGAGAGCAAGCCGGUAAGCAGCAUCCCUCCAUGGUUCCUGCUUCUGCUCAUGCUUCAGUUCCUGCCCCGGCUUUCCUCCAUGAUGGACUGCGAUUGGGGUGAAU